GAAAGGGAGCUUCCGCAAGGACACUCGUAGAGGUGCUGCAUGGCUGUCGUCAGCUCGUGUCGUGAGAUGUUGGGUUAAGUCCCGCAACGAGCGCAACCCUUGUCUUCUGUUGCCAUCAGGUUAUGCUGGGCACUCUGAAGAGACUGCCGGUGAUAAACCGGAGGAAGGUGGGGAUGACGUCAAGUCAGCAUGGCCUUUAUGUCUGGGGCCACACACGUGCUACAAUGGCAGAUACAAACCGUCGCGAGACCGCAAGGUGGAGCUAAUCGGAUAAAGUCUGUCUCAGUUCGGAUUGCAGGCUGCAACUCGCCUGCAUGAAGUUGGAAUCGCUAGUAAUCGCGGAUCAGCACGCCGCGGUGAAUACGUUCCCGGGCCUUGUACACACCGCCCGUCACAUCACGAAAGCCGGUUGUACUAGAAGUCGCCACACUAACCUGCAAGGGAGGGAGGCGCCUAAGGUAUGGUCGGUGAUUGGGGUGAAGUCGUAACAAGGUAGGCGUAGUGCU
rnacentral:rRNA from 1 species